rnacentral:rRNA from 1 species
UACGUAGGGUCCGAGCGUUGUCCGGAGUUACUGGGCGUAAAGCGCGCGCAGGCGGCUCGGCAAGCAUGGCGUGAAAGCCCCCGGCUCAACCGGGGAGAGUCGUCGUGGACUGCCGGGCUUGAGGGCGGUAGGGGUUGGUGGAAUUCCCGGUGUAGUGGUGAAAUGCGUAGAGAUCGGGAGGAACACCCGUGGCGAAGGCGGCCAACUGGGCCGACCCUGACGCUGAGGCGCGAAGGCGUGGGGAGCGAACGGG